rnacentral:rRNA from 1 species
GAUGAACGCUGGCGGCGUGCUUAACACAUGCAAGUCGAACGGUGAAGGCGGAGCUUGCUCUGCUGGAUCAGUGGCGAACGGGUGAGUAACACGUGAGCAAUCUGCCCCUGACUCUGGGAUAAGCGCUGGAAACGGCGUCUAAUACUGGAUACGAGCUGCGAAGGCAUCUUCAGCAGCUGGAAAGAAUUUCGGUCAGGGAUGAGCUCGCGGCCUAUCAGCUUGUUGGUGAGGUAAUGGCUCACCAAGGCGUCGACGGGUAGCCGGCCUGAGAGGGUGACCGGCCACACUGGGACUGAGACACGGCCCAGACUCCUACGGGAGGCAGCAGUGGGGAAUAUUGCACAAUGGGCGAAAGCCUGAUGCAGCAACGCCGCGUGAGGGACGACGGCCUUCGGGUUGUAAACCUCUUUUAGCAGGGAAGAAGCGAGAGUGACGGUACCUGCAGAAAAAGCGCCGGCUAACUACGUG